UACGGAUGGCGCACGGCGCACGGGUGCGUAACACGUGGGCAAUCUGCCCUCGGAUGGGGGAUANCUCGUCGAAAGGCGAGCUAAUACCGCAUGACAUUCAAAAAAANACCGGUCUUUGGACUCAAAGGCCGCAAGGCCGUCUGAGGAGGAGCCCGCGCCCGAUUAGCUAGUUGGUGAGGUAACGGCUCACCAAGGCUUUGAUCGGUAGCCGGUCUGAGAGGAUGGCCGGCCACACUGGAACUGAGACACGGUCCAGACUCCUACGGGAGGCAGCAGUGGGGAAUAUUGCGCAAUGGGCGAAAGCCUGACGCAGCGACGCCGCGUGGGGGAUGAAGCUUCUCGGAGUGUAAACCCCUUUCGACCCGGACGAAUGACCCGCAAGGGUUUGNCNUACGGG
rnacentral:rRNA from 1 species